rnacentral:rRNA from 1 species
UACAGAGGGGGCAAGCGUUGUUCGGAAUUACUGGGCGUAAAGGGCGCGUAGGCGGCCCGCUAAGUCGAACGUGAAAUCCCCAGGCUUAACCUGGGAACUGCGUCCGAUACUGGCAGGCUUGAAUCCGGGAGAGGGAUGUGGAAUUCCAGGUGUAGCGGUGAAAUGCGUAGAUAUCUGGAGGAACACCGGUGGCGAAGGCGGCAUCCUGGACCGGCAUUGACGCUGAGGAGCGAAAGCUAGGGGAGCAAACGGG